GAUAGCACCUAGCACUAUUACUGUAUAGAGAAAUGCUCAUGGGAAAAAAAUCAAGAUUCAAUAAUGCGGUGAUUUAUCAAGACUGUGAAAAUAUACCAAAAGUUGAAGAGCAGCUGAAUUCCAACUAAACAGUACCAUAUGCUGCUAAUUUGCUCAUAGCUGAGUUGGCCAUAAACACAGUGAGAGGAGGAACUGCCAUUUUCCCUUUUAGCUGCGGACCUAAACAUAGUGCUGGAAACAGUAGGCAUU